CGAGGCCUGUUUUCGUGUGUAAUUUUCGUUCGUGUAUCCGUGUUAACGAAAUGUUCUCCGCGGUUUGUGUGUUAUUCGUGAACGCAAUCGGAACGAGUUCUCAUCAACGCAGUUUAACGCGACUGUAAGUAAAGGGAAGCAGCGGGCGCCUUCACCAGCGCGGCCCUCGGCGAUCGCUUUGUUUGUAUGUGUCGCGCGCACGGUUCAACUUUUGAAUACCGUGGUUGCGCGUUGUCACAGUGCAGUGAUGAUUAUAUGCCAGUGCUCAUCGUGAAACUGCACAAACCGCGUCACUGCUGAUGGAGCUGCCACGUACGUAGACGGCGGCGCCCGAGAAGACCUUUUCUGAAGAGAAUGCGUGCCUGGCGAUUGUCACUUGCAGUCGCAACUUUUACAAAGUGGCAGCUGGCCUCCAUGGGGCGGUGCAGACAGGGGAGCGUCAUUGCUGGAGCACCUCCUGGCUAUCCACAGGAAAUGGAAAAAAACAUGCUGUUUUCACAACGCGGACGACACCGUGUCAAAGGAAUUUAUGGCAAUCAGACUGAAAGCAGUGCACUGGUGAAAUCAGUGCAGCAAUUGGGUAAUGUGCUGUAGUAGUGAACUUUGCAAUAAAGUUUUAUCCCUGUUCAGAUUGCUUUGAGAUGUUAUAAAUGUGAUUUCCACGUCACACACAUACCAUGACCUGAAGUUUUGGAUGGAAUGGUGGGCAUAUUUAUGCAGUGAGCCAUCUUAAGUACCGACUGGCAUACUCUAGAGUUCAAAGGCACUGAAUAUAUUCUAAUUAAGACUGCAAGACUGUAAUGCAAUCACAGUCAGAAUUCAUCAAUUCAAUAAACAAUACACAUUUGAACAGUGGUCUCCGGUACAAUGGCAUACCGACAAACAGUAGAAUAGGUAGUAGACAGGUAGUAGGCUUGUAGACCUGUAAACUUGUAUGCUGAUUGGCUAGUAGACCAUCAAGGUCUGAAAUUAGGGUUAGCCAACAGACAUGUAAGCUGAUAGCUGGUUGGAAUUUUUUACUGGAGAUAUUCAUAGAAAAUUCCAGACCCGCCGUAGUGGCUAAGGCGUACGUACAUUGCUCUACUGAACUGAAAGCUCAGGAUUGAAUCCCGGGCGCGGCGGAAUUUCGAUGGAA